UACAGAGGUCUCAAGCGUUGUUCGGAUUCAUUGGGCGUAAAGGGUGCGUAGGCGGCGCGGUAAGUCGGGUGUGAAAUCUCGGGGCUUAACUCCGAAACUGCAUUCGAUACUGCCGUGCUUGAGGACUGGAGAGGAGACUGGAAUUUACGGUGUAGCGGUGAAAUGCGUAGAUAUCGUAAGGAAGACCAGUGGCGAAGGCGGGUCUCUGGACAGUGCCUGACGCUGAGGCACGAAGGUCAGGGGAGCAAACGGG
rnacentral:rRNA from 1 species